rnacentral:rRNA from 1 species
UGCAAGUCGAGCGGUAGAGAGAAGCUUGCUUCUCUUGAGAGCGGCGGACGGGUGAGUAAUGCCUAGGAAUCUGCCUGGUAGUGGGGGAUAACGUUCGGAAACGGACGCUAAUACCGCAUACGUCCUACGGGAGAAAGCAGGGGACCUUCGGGCCUUGCGCUAUCAGAUGAGCCUAGGUCGGAUUAGCUAGUUGGUGAGGUAAUGGCUCACCAAGGCGACGAUCCGUAACUGGUCUGAGAGGAUGAUCAGUCACACUGGAACUGAGACACGGUCCAGACUCCUACGGGAGGCAGCAGUGGGGAAUAUUGGACAAUGGGCGAAAGCCUGAUCCAGCCAUGCCGCGUGUGUGAAGAAGGUCUUC